rnacentral:rRNA from 1 species
UACGUAGGGGGAAAGCGUUAUCCGGAUUUACUGGGUGUAAAGGGGGCGCAGACGGCAGCGCAAGCCAGGAGUGAAAGCCCGGGGCCCAACCCCGGGACUGCUCUUGGAACUGCGCGGCUGGAGUGCAGGAGGGGCAGGCGGAAUUCCUGGUGUAGCGGUGAAAUGCGUAGAUAUCAGGAGGAACACCGGUGGCGAAGGCGGCCUGCUGGACUGCGACUGACGUUGAGGCCCGAAAGCGUGGGGAGCAAACAGG